rnacentral:rRNA from 1 species
AGGGCGGGACACGUGGUAUCCUGUCUGAAUAUGGGGGGACCAUCCUCCAAGGCUAAAUACUCCUGACUGACCGAUAGUGAACCAGUACCGUGAGGGAAAGGCGAAAAGAACCCCGGCGAGGGGAGUGAAAAAGAACCUGAAACCGUGUACGUACAAGCAGUGGGAGCACGCUUAGGCGUGUGACUGCGUACCUUUUGUAUAAUGGGUCAGCGACUUAUAUUCUGUAGCAAGGUUAACCGAAUAGGGGAGCCGAAGGGAAACCGAGUCUUAACUGGGCGUUAAGUUGCAGGGUAUAGACCCGAAACCCGGUGAUCUAGCCAUGGGCAGGUUGAAGGUUGGGUAACACUAACUGGAGGACCGAACCGACUAAUGUUGAAAAAUUAGCGGAUGACUUGUGGCUGGGGGUGAAAGGCCAAUCAAACCGGGAGAUAGCUGGUUCUCCCCGAAAGCUAUUUAGGUAGCGCCUCGUGAAUUCAUCUCCGGGGGUAGAGCACUGUUUCGGCAAGGGGGUCAUCCCGACUUACCAACCCGAUGCAAACUGCGAAUACCGGAGAAUGUUAUCACGGGAGACACACGGCGGGUGCUAACGUCCGUCGUGAAGAGGGAAACAACCCAGACCGCCAGCUAAGGUCCCAAAGUCAUGGUUAAGUGGGAAACGAUGUGGGAAGGCCCAGACAGCCAGGAUGUUGGCUUAGAAGCAGCCAUCAUUUAAAGAAAGCGUAAUAGCUCACUGGUCGAGUCGGCCUGCGCGGAAGAUGUAACGGGGCUAAACCAUGCACCGAAGCUGCGGCAGCGACGCUUAUGCGUUGUUGGGUAGGGGAGCGUUCUGUAAGCCUGCGAAGGUGUGCUGUGAGGCAUGCUGGAGGUAUCAGAAGUGCGAAUGCUGACAUAAGUAACGAUAAAGCGGGUGAAAAGCCCGCUCGCCGGAAGACCAAGGGUUCCUGUCCAACGUUAAUCGGGGCAGGGUGAGUCGACCCCUAAGGCGAGGCCGAAAGGCGUAGUCGAUGGGAAACAGGUUAAUAUUCCUGUACUUGGUGUUACUGCGAAGGGGGGACGGAGAAGGCUAUGUUGGCCGGGCGACGGUUGUCCCGGUUUAAGCGUGUAGGCUGGUUUUCCAGGCAAAUCCGGAAAAUCAAGGCUGAGGCGUGAUGACGAGGCACUACGGUGCUGAAGCAACAAAUGCCCUGCUUCCAGGAAAAGCCUCUAAGCAUCAGGUAACAUCAAAUCGUACCCCAAACCGACACAGGUGGUCAGGUAGAGAAUACCAAGGCGCUUGAGAGAACUCGGGUGAAGGAACUAGGCAAAAUGGUGCCGUAACUUCGGGAGAAGG